rnacentral:lncRNA from 1 species
AGGGACUAGGGGUGGGGAUGAUGAAGGCAGGGGCUGCUCCUGUAGCUGAGAUCUGGGGUUGACCUUCGGAGUCAGUGUGAGGAGGUCAGAGAAUGACCGAUUUGGGUUUUAGCCUACUAACUGAUCACUGAGAGCAACCCCAUGAACAUGCUAAGCAGGAUUAAAUUUAUCAGUGUUGGGACAGCUCUGUGGAGUAGCUGGAGCCAUCCCUGCGUUUGCCGCCGGGGUUAGGCUCAGAGGAGGAAUGCAACUUCUCAGAGAUUUAUAGCCAGCUUGUGACAUAGCAUGGAGUUGGUGGUCUGCUAUUACAGAACCAUGGGAUUAAAAGUUUCAUAUUGGAAGUGCAGUGUGAGUGGAAGAAAGACCUUCAUUCUGGAGGAUGCUCUGCUUGGCCUGGAUGCUGCCCAUCAGAAGCCCCAGCAAGACUGUUUUCAGCAGGAAUUCCCCAGGUUUGAUGACAUCAUUCUGCUCGCUGUCCCAGUACUGAGUGUCCUCCAAGCCUCACUUUUCCCCCUGCGGUCCGGCAGAGAAUGGUGGCGUCACCCUAGAGCGAGGAUUUGCAGUCCCUGAAGGAUUUUGUUAGUUCUCCAUUACUUUUGUUACCUGAGACCCAUCUUUUCAUCCUGUUCCUCCUCUUCCUUGACGACCUGGGAUGUUUCCACACUGAGACAAAGAGGAAGAGACACAUCUAAGCAAUUCUCUACAGAUAGUCUCACUCAUCUCUGUCCUGAGUUCUCCUUGUGACAAGUCCAAAAGCUUGGCCACAGUCCUGAGGCAAAAAGUUUCAUGGAAACUGGUCUCUUGGAGUCUUUGGCAUCCCAUAACAUGGAUGUGGUCCAGAUAUGUCCUUGCAAUAGUCGUGAAGGGUUUAGUGUGCUUUCUUUCAAUAUUGUUUUUAUUAUAAGUGCCUCCAAGGAAUGAUUUGACAAAUAGCUAAGUUAGAUUGAACAUUGCUUCCUGGCCUCUACCAGUGUUCCAAUAUCCUAGGAAAUUGUUGAGCUGACCUUGGGCUUUGAAUUUCGUAAGAAUGUUACUUAUUCAGACAAAAUGCCUCCAGUGUUGAAAGAGAGAUAGUGAAAGAAAUCAGGCAUUGCAGUUUACUGGUUAAGAGUAGAAAUCUCAGAACAAGUUCUACAAAAUAAACUUGGAAUUCUCACUACAGUCAGGUAUGGCAGACUACAUUACAUAUUAAAAGAAAGUUGGUGGGCUCCUCUGUUAAAUGGAGGUUCCCUAUGGAUACUUAGAAUAACAACCAAGUCACACCCAUAUGCAGGAAUUUACAAUGGUCUAGGAAAAAGGAGGGUUGUGGUUUAAGAAGGAACUAGAGUAAAUACUUAGAAUAACAGCCAAGUCACUUCCAUAUACAGAAAUUUACAAUGGCCUAGGGAGAAGGUGGAUUAUACGAUAGACUAGAAUUGGAACUAUAGCUAGGGCGUGAAACCCUUGCCCCUGGCUUCUAAGAAUAAGCUGACCUUAGGUAGGUAUGAUUUUUAUCUCAGUUGUAAACACUGCCUGGUUCUUGCUAGCUUUUAUGUAUACAUUCCUCUGUUUUGUGUCAUUAUGCAUCAGAUGACUUCAAUGUAUCUUGGCUGAUGUGUCACCUGACUUCCUUGUUUUCUUCUGUAAUAUAAGUCUAAUGCUUGCUUUGAGACAUUACAUUCAGAUUCAACAC